ACGAAGAAACCAUCAAAUGAGCAAAGUCAGAUUUUCCAACUAAACAAAAUACAUAGUCCACUCAUAACAACAAGUAGAGAAACAUGGCGUCUUUUGCAACAAACACCUGCCGUUCAACCUUCUGCUGCCUUGAAAGGAUUGGGGGCAGCUCUUUCACCGAAGCUAAGCUCUUCAUUGACCCUUCUUGUCAAAGCUUCAGACCCAAAUCCACAGAGCUGGUGUUGUUGUGGCUAUGGAGACAAAAGUGUUUACUUUGUUUUAGAAGAUUUGGGUAACACAACAGGAAAAUGGGAUGUAUGUGGAUAUGAUGCUUCCUCUCCUUACAAGUUACAACCCACUUCAGAGCAAGUUCUUUAAGACACUUGCUGCUCCUCACAAAGAGGGGUUUGCUUCUCAAGUUUUUGAUUAUUGGACGAGGCUUUUUGCUUACUUAUGCAGUGUGAACUCGACCGUAUAAGAGAGGUCCUCAAGAGAUCGUUUCAUAUAGAUAAAGAGAAGGGGAUGGUUGUCAAAUUUGGGGUCAAGAAGAUUCAGCAGUGGGGAGAUGAAAAGUUGCAUCAUAGUUUAACAGAUAAAUAUCAUCUAAAUGAUUAGCUCAGAUGAGCCAAUUAUGGAAUUAAUAUCCGUUUACAUAUGUAAUAGUAUAAAUAAUGAUAAUCUAAUAAUACAAGAUGUUAUUUGUUGUAGGACAUUCGGAAGUAAAGAAAAAUUUAUAAUCCAUCUAUCAUCUAUGGCAUUUGCAUAUAAA